rnacentral:rRNA from 1 species
GUACACGCUGUGACUAGCAUAUCAAUAAGCGGAGGAAAAGUACCUAACAAGGAUUCCCCUAGUAACGGCGAGAGAAGCGGGAAGAGCUCAAAUUUGAAAUCUUAAAGGGUUUCCCUUUACGAAUUGUAGUUUAAAGAAGUGUUUUCUGUUGAGGUUUUGGUAAAAGUUCUUUGGAAUAGGACAUCAUAGAGGGUGAGAAUCCCGUAUUUGACCUUUACUUUCAACUUUGUGAUACACUUUCAAAGAGUCGGAUUGCUUGGGAAUGCAGUCCAAAAUGGGUGGUAAAUUUCAUCUAAAGCUAAAUAUUGGCGAGAGACCGAUAGCGAACAAGUACCGUGAGGGAAAGAUGAAAGAACUUUGAAAAGAGAGUUAAACAGUACGUGAAAUUGUCAAAAGGGAAGCGUUUGACACCAGUGUUGUUUUUCUGAAAAUCAAUUAAAGAACUGUUUAUGCUAAGUUGUUUAGACUUUAUCAGCUAACUGUUUAGUUUUGAGCUUUUCUUUAAUGCACUUUUCAGUUAACAAGUCAACAUCAAUUUCUUUUGCUGUAAAAAAGCUUGAGGAAGGUGGCUUGAGAUUCGUCUUAAGUGUUUAUAGCCUCUUGCCUAUGCAGUCGGAGAGAUUGAAGUCUGCAGCGUAGAUCCUUCGGGGCUAAAUGCAUUUGUGCUAAGUUAUAGCAUUUUAUAGACAACUUGUUGACUAUGAUUCGUCUUGUAGCUUACUCGCUUAUGUUAUUUUACCUACGCUUAGGAUGUUGACAGCAGUAUAGACUGU